UACGUAGGCGGAAAAUUAAGUCAGUAGUGAAAUCCUGCAGCUUAACUGUAGAACUGCUAUUGAUACUGGUUUUCUUGAAUAUAGUUGAGGUAGGCGGAAUGUGUAAUGUAGCGGUGAAAUGCUUAGAUAUUACACAGAACACCGAUUGCGAAGGCAGCUUACUAAGCUAUGAUUGACGCUGAGGUACGAAAGCGUGGGGAGCGAACAGGAUUAGAUACCCUGGUAGUC
rnacentral:rRNA from 1 species